AACGAACGCUGGCGGCAGGCCUAACACAUGCAAGUCGAGCGAGGACUUCGGUUCUAGCGGCGGACGGGUGAGUAACGCGUGGGAAUGUGCCCUUCUCUACGGAAUAGCCCUGGGAAACUGGGAGUAAUACCGUAUACGCCCUAUUGGGGAAAGAUUUAUCGGAGAAGGAUCAGCCCGCGUUGGAUUAGGUAGUUGGUGGGGUAAUGGCCUACCAAGCCGACGAUCCAUAGCUGGUUUGAGAGGAUGAUCAGCCACACUGGGACUGAGACACGGCCCAGACUCCUACGGGAGGCAGCAGUGGGGAAUCUUAGACAAUGGGGGCAACCCUGAUCUAGCCAUGCCGCGUGAGUGAUGAAGGCCUUAGGGUUGUAAAGCUCUUUCAGCUGGGAAGAUAAUGACGGUACCAGCAGAAGAAGACCCGGCUAACUCCGUG
rnacentral:rRNA from 1 species